AUAUUUGCGCAGUGGCAGUAUCAUAGCCAAUGAGGUUUAUCCGAGGCACGAUUAUUGCUAGUUGAAAAAUAAAAGUAUACAGUGGGAUUGGAAUUACAUGUGAUAUUUUAAAUUCUUAUAUGUUAUGUGUAC
rnacentral:snRNA from 1 species